GCAGAGUUGGGAGGACAGCGCGGAGUCCCUCACGGCCUUGCCGUGGCCCGCCGCGAUGCUGACAUCUUGUGAAACCAUGCCCACACACCACAGUAUCAUCAAGCCACUCACAGAUGUCACCGACUCUUCCCUCUGGCUCUUUCCUUUUCCAGGGCCAGGGCAGGACCCCAGUGCGUCUCUUCUCGGCCACCUCCCAUCCGACAAGCCUCCUUGGCCCUUUUGGGGUUUCACAACCACAGCCCUUUGGGGGAGUCCCCGUGAGGCCUUUUGGAGCGUUCCCUCAUCUCGGGUUUGUGUGACAGUUCUCGUGGAACGUGAUUCUGCACAUCAGUUUGCUAUGUCGACACAGCUUAUCGCUGGUUGGUUGAGUCCCCAAUACAGAACCCAGGGACAGAGUGGACUGAUGGAUGACUCUCAGGGCCAUUUCAUCGCACGUGCCAAGUAAGAUCACCACCAUCUCUCUCCUUGUCUAGAGGAAGCUUCUUUCCAGCCACCUAUCUACCACUCAUCGCGUGGCACCUUUGCCAAGCCUCUAUCUAGACAGGCUUGAUUUCAUUUAAUUCCGUCCCAUUCCAGUAAGUAGAUGUGAUUACGAUCUCCACUUAACAUAGCCAUAGGGAGGUUAGGUCACAAGGCCACAGGGGAACUGAGCCCCUUCGAUCAUGCUCCUGCUUCUAGCCCGGCAGCUGGCCGAACAUCUGGGCUUCCGUGGGAACGAGCUGGAUGAAGAGGGUGUGUGUGAAGAAGCAGACGGCCAACCCGUACAUUGCCGCGAUCCACGGGACCAGAGAGUUAAGCGUGUACUGAACAGUCCUGUGUCUCCCACCUUCUCCAUGUGCUGCCAGCAGGGAAGGAGGGUCAGGCUGGCAAUGAAGCAAGGGCUCCCCACUCUGAGUUCCCGCAGGACAAAAGCCAAACAGAAGGAGGAGGGUAAUGGUGGUUGCUCCCAAACCAUGAGUGCCGAGCCAUCGGAGACAAGGAAACUCAGCCUCUCAGCUCUCACCGGCUGACCCAAGAGGGCCCCACACAGAUCUGUGAAGGACAUGGAUGGAACCUGGAAGGUAUAGUGAAGGACUGGAGACAAUCUCACAGAGAGGGCACACAGCCUGGAGACACACUGAGAAGGCAGAGGCUGGCAGCCAGGAUGCGGCCACCCACAGCCCGAGCUGCACACCAGGGCCUCCAGGGGAGGAGCCAGGAGCCUGGGGCUGUCAGCAGGAAAACAGUCGCUCACCCCCAAGCAGUCUCUGAUUGGUGGAGGAGAACCACUUGACAAAGUGUUCGGCCAACCAGAAAGCCGGCCACACAAUCAGUUCCCUCUGCGUUCUGGUCUCGCUGCUGCUUCUGGCCUGAUGAGCUGGACCAAAAGAGAAAGAGAGAGGGAAGGAAGAAAGGGUGGGCCCAGGGGUGUGCCCACAGCCUCCUCUCUCCAGCUCUUCCCAGCCUUUCCCACCUAAUCUGGAGAGCAGGUCAGUGCAGUGGGGGCAGUGGCUAACAUGUGCUUUGUCCCAUGUUGGUUUCGUGGCUGGACUCUGGCCAAAGGCAGCAAUAUUCAAGAGCUGUAGAGGCCGGGGCUACCGGGGUUUGGACCUGGGGGGGGGUGUCACUGGAUGACUCAGGGGUGAAGAUCAAAUGGAUGAAGAUGUCUGCCCCUGGGGGUCUCCUACCUCUCAGCAGCUGCCAGGCCCAGUUCCUCCAAGUUAGCAGUAGAGAAGAGACUAGCCUUGGUAGAUCCUUGGGCCACCACGUCUGGAAUGCAUCUCCGAACACACCUGAGUAAAAAAUUCCCAGGUACGGCUUCUCUGACUACAGGAUUUUAGAACAGACUUGGGAGCUGUCUGUAGAGUGGCUAAUGACAUUCACAUAGCCUGGAUGUCAUAUGCCAUCUGUGACUACCAUCUUGCCUCACAAGAUAGGGCAUUUUAGUAGUGAAAAAAUGGAAAGAUACACUCUCAGAAUAAAUGACAAUUCCUAAUGUAUUUUACAUUUUAGUGCAUUUUAUGCCCCUGUAAUACAAUAUCACAAGCGAGGCAGUUUAUAAUGAGCCUACAGUAUUUGUUGGCUUGUGUUCUUGGAGUCUGGGCAAUCUAAGAUGGAGUGGGCAGGGGCUGGUAAUGUCCUUCCUGUCAUGCCACCCAUGACUGAAGGGCAGAGAGAGAGCCACAGAGAGAACACGGUGGGGCUAAGUCUAUCUAUUGUUAAGGAACCCACAGCCUUAACCCACUCCUGGAGGGUAGAGCCCUUAUUGCUGAACCACUCUGUAAAGGCCUACCUCCUAAUACCACCAAAGAUCAAACUUCCAACAUACAAACUUUGAGGGGCAUGUUCAAACCAAGCAUAAUUUGAAAAAAAAAAAAUGAAAAUUCCAUAGUACAGAAUGAAAAGCUCAGUCUUUUGGCCUUGGUUUUGUUUGUUCACAACAAAAUCACGAACACUAACAAUUUGACCAGAGCUCAAGGCUAAGUAGAAACCCAAGGCUGAUACUGGACAUAGUCACACAAUCCCAGGGCUUGGGAGGCAGAGGCAGGUGCAUCUCUGUGAGUUCAAGGCCAUCCUGGACUACAGUGUGAGUUCCAGGACAGCAGGACAACAUAGUGAGACCCUGUUCUGAAAAACAAACCAACCAACAGACCACCACUAACCAAAACAGAAACCCAAGGCUAAUCCAACUUUGGAACGCACUCAAGAGGAGAGUUGUCAAGGCAACCCAGCACGGUAACACCGACCUGGAGAAGCGGAGCUCUUAUGUCAAGCCCGUUGAGUCCAGUGCGGUUGUUCGAGCAUCUUCACUGGGUUCUCGCACAGGGGACAGCUGAUCUUGCUAACUUUCCCUGUCCCUUGGUGGUCGGUUUCCAACCUUUCUCAUCUUUCCAAGUCCGGACCUCACAGCUGUCCCAGCAGGCUGGGUUUUGCAGGUCAUUAAAAUGGCAGAAGGCAGAUGGUAUUCUCUGCAUCCCACAGCAUGCCCACGAAGCAGGCUCUUUCUCCACCCAGGACCAGCUCCCUCCUCCCUCCUCCCCCACCACAGGCUGGCCAUGUCUCCCCUCACUCACUUCCUUUGCUCCCCAGACUCCUUCCCUAUAGCAUCAAGUUUCCAUUCUAUCGCUUCAAGCUCCCUCCAACAA